rnacentral:rRNA from 1 species
GACGAACGCUGGCGGCGUGCUUAACACAUGCAAGUCGAACGGAAAGGCCCUGCUUUUGUGGGGUGCUCGAGUGGCGAACGGGUGAGUAACACGUGAGUAACCUGCCCUUGACUUUGGGAUAACUUCAGGAAACUGGGGCUAAUACCGGAUAGGAGCUCCUGCUGCAUGGUGGGGGUUGGAAAGUUUCGGCGGUUGGGGAUGGACUCGCGGCUUAUCAGCUUGUUGGUGGGGUAGUGGCUUACCAAGGCUUUGACGGGUAGCCGGCCUGAGAGGGUGACCGGCUACAUUGGGACUGAGAUACGGCCCAGACUCCUACGGGAGGCAGCAGUGGGGAAUAUUGCACAAUGGGCGGAAGCCUGAUGCAGCAACGCCGCGUGCGGGAUGACGGCCUUCGGGUUGUAAACCGCUUUCGCCUGUGACGAAGCGUGAGUGACGGUAAUGGGUAAAGAAGCACCGGCUAACUACGUGCCAGCAGCCGCGGUGAUACGUAGGGUGCGAGCGUUGUCCGGAUUUAUUGGGCGUAAAGGGCUCGUAGGUGGUUGAUCGCGUCGGAAGUGUAAUCUUGGGGCUUAACCCUGAGCGUGCUUUCGAUACGGGUUGACUUGAGGAAGGUAGGGGAGAAUGGAAUUCCUGGUGGAGCGGUGGAAUGCGCAGAUAUCAGGAGGAACACCAGUGGCGAAGGCGGUUCUCUGGGCCUUUCCUGACGCUGAGGAGCGAAAGCGUGGGGAGCGAACAGGCUUAGAUACCCUGGUAGUCCACGCUGUAAACGGUGGGUACUAGGUGUGGGGUCCAUUCCACGGGUUCCGUGCCGUAGCUAACGCUUUAAGUACCCCGCCUGGGGAGUACGGCCGCAAGGCUAAAACUCAAAGGAAUUGACGGGGCCCCGCACAAGCGGCGGAGCAUGCGGAUUAAUUCGAUGCAACGCGUAGAACCUUACCUGGGUUUGACAUGGAUCGGGAGUGCUCAGAGAUGGGUGUGCCUCUUUUGGGGUCGGUUCACAGGUGGUGCAUGCCUGUCGUCAGCUCGUGUCGUGAGAUGUUGGGUUAAGUCCCGCAACGAGCGCAACCCUUGUUCACUGUUGCCAGCACGUUAUGGUGGGGACUCAGUGGAGACCGCCGGGGUCAACUCGGAGGAAGGUGGGGAUGACGUCAAGUCAUCAUGCCCCUUAUGUCCAGGGCUUCACGCAUGCUACAAUGGCUGGUACAGAGAGUGGCGAGCCUGUGAGGGUGAGCGAAUCUCGGAAAGCCGGUCUCAGUUCGGAUUGGGGUCUGCAACUCGACCUCAUGAAGUCGGAGUCGCUAGUAAUCGCAGAUCAGCAACGCUGCGGUGAAUACGUUCCCGGGGCU